rnacentral:rRNA from 1 species
UACGUAGGGAGCAAGCGUUGUCCGGAAUCAUUGGGCGUAAAGCGCGCGUAGGCGGCCCUGUAAGUCCGCUGUGAAAGUCAAAGGCUCAACCUUUGAAAGCCGGUGGAUACUGCAGGGCUAGAGUCCGGAAGAGGCGAGUGGAAUUCCUGGUGUAGCGGUGGAAUGCGCAGAUAUCAGGAGGAACACCGACGGCGAAGGCAGCUCGCUGGGACGGUACUGACGCUGAGGCGCGAAAGCGUGGGGAGCGAACAGG